rnacentral:rRNA from 1 species
AUUGAACGCUGGCGGCAUGCCUUACACAUGCAAGUCGAACGGUAACAGGUCUUCGGAUGCUGACGAGUGGCGAACGGGUGAGUAAUACAUCGGAACGUGCCUAGUAGUGGGGGAUAACUACUCGAAAGAGUGGCUAAUACCGCAUGAGAUCUACGGAAGAAAGCAGGGGAUCGCAAGACCUUGUGCUACUAGAGCGGCCGAUGGCAGAUUAGGUAGUUGGUGGGAUAAAAGCUUACCAAGCCGACGAUCCGUAGCUGGUCUAAGAGGACGAUCAGCCACACUGGGACUGAGACACGGCCCAGACUCCUACGGGAGGCAGCAGUGGGGAAUUUUGGACAAUGGGCGAAUGCCUGAUCCAGCAAUGCCGUGUGCAGGAUGAAGGCCUUCGGGUUGUAAACUGCUUUUGUACGGAACGAAAAGCCCCGGGUUAAUACCCUGGGGUCAUGACGGUACCGUAAGAAUAAGCACUGGCUAACUACGUGCCAGCAGCCGCAGUAA